rnacentral:miRNA from 1 species
UCCCUGAGACCUUCGACUGUGU